CGGACGGGUGAGUAAUGCUUGGGAAUCUGGCUUAUGAGGGGGAGUAACUACGGGAAACUGUAGCUAAUACCGCGUAGUAUCGGAAGAUGAAAGUGCGGGACCGUAAGGCCGCAUGCCAUGGGAUGAGCCCAAGUGGGAUUAGGUAGUUGGUGGGGUAAAGGCCUACCAAGCCUGCGAUCUCUAGCUGGUCUGAGAGGAUGGCCAGCCACACUGGAACUGAGACACGGUCCAG
rnacentral:rRNA from 1 species